CAAUAAGCGUAGGAGUGUACGAGAGGAGAGGGUGAGAGGACCAGCUGCCUUAUAGUGAACUUAUAGAUUACUGUUGCCUCGGCGCAUGCCGGCCCCCCUGGGGGCCCCUCCUCCCGGAGGAGCAGGCACGCCGGCGGCCAACCUAACUCUUGUUUUUACACUGAAACUCUGAGAAUAAAACAUAAAUGAAUCAAAACUUUCAACAACGGAUCUCUUGGUUCUGGCAUCGAUGAAGAACGCAGCGAAAUGCGAUAAGUAAUGUGAAUUGCAGAAUUCAGUGAAUCAUCGAAUCUUUGAACGCACAUUGCGCCCUCUGGUAUUCCGGAGGGCAUGCCUGUUCGAGCGUCAUUUCAACCCUCAAGCCUGGCUUGGUGAUGGGGCACUGCCUGUAAAAGGGCAGGCCCUGAAAUUCAGUGGCGAGCUCGCCAGGACCCCGAGCGCAGUAGUUAAACCCUCGCUCUGGAAGGCCCUGGCGGUGCCCUGCCGUUAAACCCCCAACUUCUGAAAAUUUGACCUCGGAUCAGGUAGGAAUACCCGCUGAACUUAAGCAUAUCAAUAAGCGGAGGAC
rnacentral:rRNA from 1 species